rnacentral:misc_RNA from 1 species
AUUGAAUGUGUAGAAACAAAUAACCUUUAGAAUUGAAUAACAUAUCAUUUGUAGGAUUUAUACGACGAAACUUUUACUUGGAAUUAUAUCAAUCUUUAUUUUUUGCGAACAUGGACGCACCGAAAACUUCUGAUAUUGUUCUUCUCUCUGGUAAUUCUCAUCCAGAAUUGGCUAAUUUAAUCCAUAAACGACUAGGGGUAAAAUCUAGCGGAUGUGCUGUCUAUCAUAAAUCUAAUCGUGAGUCAAUGGUCCAAAUAAAUGAUUCUAUUAGAGGAAAAGAUGUUUAUAUAAUUCAAACAGGAGCAAAAGAUGUCAACAACAACAUAAUGGAGUUGCUUAUAAUGGCCUAUGCUUGUAAAACUUCAUCAGCAAAAUCUAUUGUUGGAGUGAUUCCUUACCUACCAUACAGUAAACAGUGCAAGAUGAGGAAGAGAGGUAGUAUUGUCACAAAAUUGUUAGCUCAAAUGAUGUGCAAUUCUGGAUUAACACAUAUUAUAACAAUGGACCUGCAUCAAAAGGAAAUCCAAGGAUUUUUCGAUUGCCCAGUAGAUAACUUGAGAGCAAGUCCUUUUCUUCUUCAGUAUAUUCAAGAAAGUAUUCCAGAUUAUCGUAAUUCAGUAAUAGUAGCCAGAAAUCCAGCUGCUACUGGUAAAGCCACUUCAUAUGCUGAACGUCUUCGUCUUGGUAUAGCUGUUAUUCAUGGAGAACAGAAACAGUCUGAUUCUGAUGAAGUAGAUGGAAGAUAUUCCCCACCAACCUUACCAAGAUCACGUACUAUGGAUGCAGGAGUAGGUGUGCCUGUACAUAUCGCUAAGGAAAAACCUCCGAUAAAUGUAGUAGGUGAUGUAGGAGGGCGAAUAGCUAUCAUGGUGGAUGACUUAAUAGAUGAUGUCCAUUCUUUUGUAGCAGCUGCUGAAGUUCUUAAAGAACGUGGGGCUUAUAAGAUAUAUGUUAUGGCAACCCAUGGUCUACUUUCGUCUGACGCUCCACGUCUAAUAGAAGAUUCACCCAUUGAUGAGGUGGUAGUCACAAAUACAAUUCCCCAUGAGCUACAGAAAAUGCAGUGCCAUAAGAUUAAAACUGUGGAUAUAUCAAUAUUGCUCUCUGAAGCUAUUAGAAGAAUUCAUAACAAGGAAUCCAUGUCAUAUCUAUUUAAGAAUGUUACAUUGGAAGACUAAAUCUUCAUAUAUUGAACAAAAAAUUCGGUAUUAUUGAGUUUUUAGCAAUAUAAUAUGCAAUUAUUAUAAAAUAAAAACCAGUGCAUUUCAUUACUAACUUACAAGCUUUGAAAUAAGCUGUUAAUAGAAAAUACCUGAUGUUUGUGCAAAUGAAACAUGUUAUAGAUAAUCAACUAUUUUCAAUGGGAAAUAAGCCACAAUUUUACCAAAAAAAAUUAUUUUAUUAACGUUAUAAAUGAGUCAGAUUAAAUAAAUUAUUAGAAGAAUUUUUUACUAAGCAACAACAUUUUCGUUUAAUUUAGUAUUAUUUUGUAUUUUGACAACGACACCCGACUUGGACGUCGAAACGUUAAUAAAAUCAUUUUUUUGGUAAAAUUGUGGCUUAUUUCCCAUUGAAAAUAGUUGAUUAUAAAAAUGCCACAAGGAAAUAGCUUCAGAACAACAUGUUAUAGUAUAGAUGUUAAAGAGAAUUUCAGAGCAUUAAAGAUUCAAUUUGUAUAUUUUAAGAUAUCGUAUGCAUUGGUUUUGAUUUUGUAUGACUUGCAUAUUCACAUUUAUAUAUAAGAGCUUAAAUUCAUUUAGUAGGACAUUGUCGAUAUACAAAAAUAUUCGGUGAUCAUUAAAACGGCAAAAUAAUUUGUAGGAAAUAAAACUAGAUUCAUCACAAAUCUGAUUUGAUCAUAAAAAUAUGGAUUUAAUCAUAAAAAAUAGAUUACAUAUUUAGAAUUGUGUUCCUCCGAGUGUUGUCAACUUUAAGACGGAGAAUAGCGUUUAUUCUGACAAAAUCUCUUCAAACCUAGCCCAGUCCAUUAUCUGAUGAUUUUCAUCCAUGACAUAUUUUCCUUCAAAUGCCUUAUGGUCUUUCGAUUUUAUCUUUUACAAUUAAUUGGGGAUGUAAUAUUUUUCUUGCUCUUUUUUUAAUUGUUGUAGAACUUCUUCAUUUGGAAUAUUUACUGUCCAAGAUAUUUUCAUGAUUUGAUGGUAAACUCUCGUUUCGAUUAUUUCUAGUUCUUUAAGUCUUUAUGGUUCCCUACCGACUCCAUAAACUAGUAUUGACCAUAAACUACAGGGUGUAACAAAAAUACAGGUCAUAAAUUAAAUCACAUAUUCUGAGACCAAAAAUAGUUCGAUUGAACCUAACUUACCUUAGUACCAAUGUGCACAUAAAAAAAAUUACAGUCCUUCGAAGUUACAAAAUGAAAAUCGAUUUUUUCCAAUAUAUCGAAAACUACUAGAGAUUUUUUAUUGAAAAUGGGCAUGUGGCAUUCUUAUGGCAGUAGUAUCUUAAGAAAAAAUUAUAGUGAAAUUUGGACACCCCUUAAAACUUUUAUGGGGAUUUUGUUCUUUUAAACCCCCACAAACUUUUGUGCACGUUUCAAUUUAAUUAUUAUUGCACUACCAUUAGUUAAACAAAGUGUUUUAAAAACUUUUUUGCCUCCUAGUACUUUUUCGAAAAGUCAGUUUUUAUCGAGUUAUUUUGAAUAUUUGUCAAAUCCACCACAUAUUUGUAUAUGGUUAAGUACGAUUAUGGAGACUUGGUAAUAAUAUGCAAAUUUAUUUAUGAUUUACAUUUUUAGGUAUAUUUUGAACCAUAUUAAAAAAGAAGCCACAUCUCGAUAAAAGGUGCCUUAUCGAAAAAAUACAAAGAAACAAAAAAGUUUUAGAAAUACUGUGUUUAACUAAUGGUACCGCAAUAAUAGUUUAAUUGGAACGUAAUCGAACGAGUUUAAAGGAACAAAACCCCCAUAAUUCUUUUUAUGUAAACAUAUUAAAAAAAGCCGCAUCUCGAUAAAAACUGCCUUAUCGAAAAAAUACUAAGAGGCAAAAAAGUUUUGAAAAUAUUCAGUUUAACUAAUGGCACCACAAUAAUAUUUUAAUUGGCACGUACACAAAAGUUUGGGGGGGGGGGGUUAAGGGAAGAAAACCCCAUACAAUUUUUAGGGGGUGCAUAAAUUUCACUAUAAUUUUUCUUUAAGAUGUUCCUAUCAUAAGAAUGCCACACGUCCAUUUUCAAUAAAAAGUCUAAUAGUUUUCGAUAUAUUCGAGAAAAUUGAUAUUCAUUUUGUAACUUCAAAGGGCUGUAACUUUUUUAUGUGCAUAUUUGUACUAAGGUAAGUUAGGUUCAUUCGAACUAUUUUUGGUCCCAGAAUAUGUACCUUAAUUUAUGACCUGUAUUUUUGUUACAUCCUGUAUAUUGACCAUCUUGUCUUUUAUUCAUUUAAUCCAGAGGUUCCCAAACUAUUUUUUCUCGUAGACCCCUUUAAAAAAUAUACUGGUUUCGGUGGACCCCCUGCUGCUAUAUUUUUACCAUACUUCCAAUGAAAAACAUUGGGGGGGGGGGGUAAAAAUAAGACAUUGAAGGUCUUUUUCGUCUUCUUUUCUUUUCUCAAAAUAUCAUUUUAAGCGAUUUUACAUUGAUUUGGAAUCUAUUUAAACAAAUUUGCAUUUUUUAUCGUAAAUUAUCAAUAAUUGAAAAAAUUGUGUUUUAAUAUAAGGGUUAUCCAAAAUGUGAUUAUUAGGCAUUAUAACAAGUUUUUUGUUUUAAAACAAGUUGUUGAUCAAACUUUAGCGUAGAAAACGAUAAAAUACUGUUUUCCAUUUUCCUCCAUUCUCAAAAUACAUGUUCUUCUAUUUGGCUGAAAAUUUGCCCACAUAUAUCCAAAACACAGGACUUAUGUGUAUAAUGGUUAAAAGAAUUUGUAUAGUUUUACAAUACAAGAAAAGUUACAUGCAAUAAAGAGUCAAAAUUAUAUAGUACAGUCGGGUUAGCAUUUGAUCUUGCAUGCCGAGCUACCCAAGCAAGAUUCUAUUUUUCUAAUCUUAAGGGGGUCAAUAGUAGUGUAAAUUUAAAAUCUCGAAUAAAGGAGAACCGUUUUUGCUCAAUAUCUCCGCCAUAUUUAACGUUUCGACAACAAGUGUAAAAACUGAAGUUGUGGAAAAUAUGAUUUCGUAUAAUUUAUUCUAUUAUAAAUUUUUUGUGCCGUCGAUAUUUUCCGAAUUAUGGGAGAAAGAGUGACAGUUACAGCAUAAUUAUUGAAUUAUCUCGUUUAUUAUUAGUUUUAUAACAAAAAUGUACCUAUACAAAAAUGGAGAGAAUUAAAUUUUAUACAAUUUUGAUCUCUCUCAUGUUUUUGCUAAAAUCAAUAUUUCAGGUAGUACGUAUGCGGUAAACGCGCGAGCAUAAGCCCUGAUUGAUUUGAUAGCAGUGGUUUUUGUUCAAUAUCUCCGCAAUUCUCAACUUUUCGACAAAAAUGGUAGGAAUUGAAAUUGAUCCAAAAAAAUUGUGUUUACAAUAAUUAUUAUAAUUUUUUUAACCAUUUUUUUCGUAUGGCGGAUAUUUUCCGAAUUAAUUGUACUUACAGUAGAUGCCUACAUAUAUUUUUGACUCUGAUAUUAUUCCACGUAUUUUUUUUUGUAUUGUAAAACGAUACAAAUCCUUUUAACCACUUAAAGUCCUGUAUUUUGGCUAUCUGUGGGCAAAUUUUCAGUCAAAUCGAAAGACAUUUGUUUUGGAAAUGGAGGAAAAUGUAAAAAACGGUAUUUUAACGUUUUCUACACUAAAAUUUGAUCAACAACUUGUCUUUAAUCAAAAUAACUUUUUAUGAUGCAUUAUAAUAAUAUUUUUGGGCCAUUACUCUUAAAAUAUUAUUUUUUCCAUUGAUAUUUUACAAUAAAAAAAUGCAAAUUUGUUUAAAUAAAUACCAAAUCGCUAUAAAAUUUUCGUGGACCCCACUUGCAACUUGUGAACCCCCAUUUUUAUUUCACGCCAACGUAAACCCCCGUUGAAUCCCUCGUGGACCCCUGGGGGUCCACCUGGACCACUUUGGGAAUCACUGAUUUAAUCCAACGUCCCGAGAUCUGUUAUGAGUUACCUGUUCAGCAUUUUUCCAUUUAAAAGCGACUGAUAUUAGAGGGAACGGAAUAUUUUUUUAAUUCUUCUUUACCAUCAUUUCGGUAUUUUUGUUAUUUAUCUCUAUUCCAAACUCAUUGCAUGCUUUAAACUGCUUUGUCAGCGGUAAAUAUUUGGAUGCCAUUAAGAUUUAUUCCCGCAAUGAAUUUUUCUGCUGAAUAGUAUUUUUUGAGUACAUGUAUUAUCCCUUUGCUUAUGUUAAUAUUGUUUGAGACUUAGUCGUGAAUUCUAUCUAAUCCUAUUGUUUUGUUGCCAGUUCUCAUUUGUUAUUAUUCAUAAAACUUUAUGGUUUACUUCAAAUUUACCAAAGCUAGAAAUUUUCCAUGUUUCGCAUGAAUACUUUUUCUAAACUUAGGAAGCACAGAAACACAUCUUUUGACAUUUGACACUUUUAGCAUAAUUCUUUAGUGAGAAGAGGGUUUACUAAAUCCCUAUACGGUUCAGAAAUCCAAACAAUAGUUUCUAAUUUCUUUUUCACCUAUUUUAUGUACCAUAUUGUGAAAUAUCUUUAAUAGCGUUGACACUGACUUAUAAAAAAUGUUUUAAUUUAUACGAAACUUCAUUGAGUCAGAUAUUAUACAUUUAUUUUAUCUAUAAUCAUAAACAUUACUCUUUUGUUGGAUGUUUAAACCAUCGUUUAUCGUUUAGUACAUCCAUCUUCACCUGUAAAUACCACAUUUGAGUCAAGUUUUUUGAUUGUUUUUAUAAAUUUAGUAUAUAAGAACAAACAAUUUACAACAUUCAUCAAAAUUGCUACUAGACCAGAGCAUUUAGGAAAAAAUAAAUUGAUUUUUAAGCACAGCAUCUAGAGACUUGCAACUUUUUGAAUGGUGUUCAGGAUGACGCCAGGAAAAAAGUCUACGAUAGAAAAAUGGGUGGAAAUGCAUAACAAUUGCAUUUUAAAGGGUACAACAUGCAUCUAAAAGUGCAUAAACAUGUCAAAAUCAGUAUUCAUAUUAAUUUUUUAUUAUUAUUACAUAUGUUUUUAUAAUUUUUAUUAUUACAAAAUAUUUUAAUUUACAAUCUGCUUCAUCGAAGCUAUAAGUAAAUAGUUUGAAUGUUAAAUACAUGAGGGAGAAGCUGCCCUGUGGCAACCCUCCUAUUACAAUUUUUACAUUAGAUCAUAAUAUAUUUAAUUUAUUAAAUCUGUUGGCCAUAGUUUCUUCAGUCGUCUUGCGAAUUCGGGAGGAGUGUUUAGCUGUCUUGCUUCAUCAUUUGGAUGACUUCUCAGUCCAUCAAGGUAGCUCUUUGUGAUCCUUUGAAUUUCUGUAUAUUAAUGGCCACAUUUUGUUAUUCAGUGGGUUUUUGGGGUCACUGAACACUGUUAAUAUAUAAUAUAAUAAUAACAUGAGAGCCAACGAUCGACAAGCGGUCUCGGCACCUUAAGAAGAAGAAGAAGACGAAUACGCAAUCAGAACCGACCGCCGAAAUACCUGGUGCCCGGGUUUACUACUAAGGUACGCCAUCUAAAUUUUAGAGGGUUUUCGGUACUCAAUUGAUGCAAAUUGAUUACUCGGAGGGGAUCGCUGAACACGAGUACCUCAUUAGAACCGACCCCCUAGAGCAGGGGUCACCAAUUAGCGGACCACGGUCCGCAUCCGGACCGUGAGCUAGUUUUGUGCGAACCGUCAAUAAAUUCAGAAUAUACCUAGUGUUUGGCAAUUUUGAAAAUCUGGCCAUGAAAUUGUGUACUAUGUUUGGCUCAACUUAUGUGUGCGAAGCCGCUUUAUCAAUAAUGAACUUUAUUAAAAAUCGGUAGAGAUCUCACUUAACAGAUGAAUAUCUCAACUCCCUAAUGAGACAUCAGUUGCACUAAACUCACUCCAAACUUCAGACAGGUUGUACAUAAAAAAUGUCAUUUUUCUCUCUGAUUAAUUUAAUUUUGUAAAGAGUUUUCCCCCUUAUUGUUAUACUUACUAAUCAUUAAUUUUGAAAUUAAGUAAGCUGUAAUAUAAAAUUGUCAUGUGCAUUUUUUUAUAUUCAUUUCCUCUCUACUAUAUGUUAAGUAGGAGUAUGUACUUUUCAGAUGUGCAUUUAAUUAAAAUAAUUUUCAGAUUUAAUAAGUUUGCAACAAACACCUUGCAUUGAAACUAAUGUAGAAAAGAUAACAUGUUAAUUACCAUUUUGUACUAUGAUUGUUUAUUUUAAAUUCCUCAGUUUCCUUUCUACAAAAUUGAAGAUGUCUAAAAACUUCAUUAGCAUUCAAAAUAUAAAUUUCUAAUGUUUAAAAUAUUCUCAUUAACAAUAAUUUACAAUACUGCUGUUUUCAAAAUAUACUGAUAAUAACAUCAAAACAAUACACAAUGAAUUUAUAUUUUAUUUAUUGUACCAGGAAAACUUACAGAAAAGUAUACAGUAACCAAAAAACAAUCAGAUAUUAUUAGUUUUCCUUUUCAUAUUAGUCCAUGUGUGAGGCCACUUUCGUCUGAAAAAUGUUUCUGACUCGAUUUCUUUGCGGAUUCCUGUUCAAAAAUGUCCCCUUUAAACAAAUCUGAAGGGUGCCGGGUGAAACUAUUUUUUAAGCAAAUUCAAAAUUACUUUUUUGUCUAGAAAGAUGUAUUUUUAGGUUUCUUGGGUAAUUAUAAACAAUAAAGGUCUCUUGUCAUAUUUCUGAAAAGUUGAUAGUUUUCGAGUUAUAAGCGAUUAAAAUCUGAAAAAUGCGAAAAUAUGCAUUUGCGAUGCUUGAAAACUCUUAAGCUUUAAUAAAAUGACAGAUCUUUUUUAUUUAAGAUGACCCAAAAAUGCUAAGAACAUAUUUUCGCGGGCAAAAGAAGUGAUGAUUUGAAUUUGUUAAAAAAUAUAUUAAACAAUUUCUGCCCAAAAAUUUCGCCCGGCACCCUUCUGAUAUGUUUAUAGGGGAUAUUUUUUAACAAGAAUCCACAAAGAAACCGAAUCAGAACAGUCAGACACAGGCAGCAUAAAUCCUGACCCCGGAAGUAUCAUAGGUUUUCGAAACGGACCCUCAGGGAAACUAAUUGGUGACCCCUGCCCUAGAGCACCUGUUGCCCAGGGUCAUCUUCUGGAAUUUCGAGGGAUUGCGGCACUAAAGUGAUACUAACUCAGGGGAUUUUUUGGGGGUUGCUCGACACAAAUAUGACAUCAGAACCGACUCUCAGAGCACCUAGUGACCAGGGUGAAUGAUAUGCACGUCAUUUUCUGGAAUUUUGAGGCCUUCCGACACUAAAUUGAUGCAAGUAGAUUACUCAGGAUCUACUGUGGUGGUUUUUUACGUUGCUGAACACGAAUAGGCUAUCAGAACCGACCUCCGAAAACGAAAUUCCAGAAUAUAUCGUGCAAAUCAGUUAUCCUGGGCACUAGGUGCUCCGAGGGUCAGUUCUGAUGACGUAUUCGUGUUCAGCGAUCCUAAAAACCCUCCGAGUAAUCUGUUUGCAUCAAUUUACAUAGUACCGAAACCCCUCCAAACUCCAGAUGACGUGCCCUAACAGUAACCAUGAGCAUCAGAUGCAUGGGGUCGGUUCUGAUUGCAUAUUCGUGUUGUGACCCCAAAAACCCACCGAAUAACAAAAUCUGGCCCUUAAUAUACUGAUUUUGACAUGUUUAUGCACUUUUGGAUGCAAUUAUGCAUUUCUGCCCAUUUUCUAUAGUGGACUUUUUUCCUGACAUGAUCCUAAACACAAUGCAAAAAGUUGUAAGUCGAUAGGUGCUGUGUUUAAAAAUUUAUUUAUUCUGGUGUUUUUAUUGCUAAAUGCCCCGAUCUAUACGCUUUUGGUACACAUUUACGGCUCCUACAAAUAUUUUAUGAAUUGUUCAAUUGUCCCGUUAGUUGUAGCAUUUAUUGAUGUUUAAUUUUAUGGUUUAUUCUUUAAUGUAAAACUAAAAUUUUUAAUUUUUUUGCAUUUUUUGUUUGUAAUAGUGAUAUUUUCUUCCAAUAAUUUAAUAGUAUACCGAAUUUUAUUUUUAGUAUUAGAAGUGUGUAUUAUAUUUUACCUAUAGUAUGUUUGUAAGACUGCUGGUUUUAUAAUCUUAAAAUUAAGUAAAAAAAUAAUUAUCCUAA